UUUCUCUGAUUCUAUAUGUAUGAAUACAGUGGUGUGAAAAAGUGUUUGCCCCCUUCCUGAUUUCUUAUUUUUUUGCAUGUUUGUCACACCUAAAUGUUUCAAAUCAUCAAAUUAAUUUAAAUAUAAGACAAAGAUAACACAAAAUGCAGUUAUUAAAUGAUGGUGUUUAUUAUUAAGGAAAAAAAAAAAUCUAAACCUACA